GGACGAUCGCUGGCGGCGUGCCUAACACAUGCAAGUCGAACGAGGUCCAUCCAGUAGCAAUACUGGGGAAGACCUAGUGGCGAACGGGUGAGUAACACGUGAGGAACCUGCCCCGAAGACCGGGAUAACGCUCCGAAAGGAACGCUAAUACCGGAUGCCUUCACCAAGCCGCAUGACCUGGUGAAGAAAUGGAUUCCGCUUCGGGAGGGCCUCGCGGCCUAUCAGCUUGUUGGUGGGGUAAUGGCCCACCAAGGCUUCGACGGGUAGCUGGUCUGAGAGGACGAUCAGCCACACUGGGACUGAGACACGGCCCAGACUCCUACGGGAGGCAGCAGUGGGGAAUCUUGCGCAAUGGGCGAAAGCCUGACGCAGCAACGCCGCGUGGGGGAUGAAGGCUCUCGGGUUGUAAACCCCUUUCAGCAGGGACGAUCGUGACGGUACCUGCAGAAGAAGGCCCGGCCAACUACGUGCCAGCAGCCGCGGUAACACGUAGGGGCCAAGCGUUGUCCGGAUUUAUUGGGCGUAAAGAGCUCGUAGGCGGUUCGGUAAGUCGGGUGUGAAACCUCCAGGCUCAACCUGGAGACGCCACCCGAUACUGCUGUGACUCGAGUCCGGUAGGGGAGCGUGGAAUUCCUGGUGUAGCGGUGAAAUGCGCAGAUAUCAGGAGGAACACCAGCGGCGAAGGCGGCGCUCUGGGCCGGAACUGACGCUGAGGAGCGAAAGCGUGGGUAGCAAACAGGAUUAGAUACCCUGGUAGUUCACGCCGUAAACGUUGGGCACUAGGUGUGGGUCUCAACCAACGGGAUCUGUGCCGUAGCUAACGCAUUAAGUGCCCCGCCUGGGGAGUACGGCCGCAAGGCUAAAACUCAAAG
rnacentral:rRNA from 1 species